GCGGGAAAAUCGUGUUUUCCGACUGAGGUUCGUUCGAAGCUACCCGAACUUCCAGCUUGAAAUUCUUCCUCGUUUCUCCACCAAAUCGAUCGAGUAAGGCAUCUGAGGUCCAGCCGAUCAGCAUGAGGAAACUUCAAAGGGUCAAAUUAGCUUGGACCAUCUGUCGUAGAAGUGCAUAGGAUCCACCACCGGGCCACUCUUAA